rnacentral:rRNA from 1 species
GACGAACGCUGGCGGCGUGCUUAACACAUGCAAGUCGAACGGAAAGGCCCUGCUUUUGUGGGGUGCUCGAGUGGCGAACGGGUGUGUAACACGUGAGUAACCUGCCCUUGACUUUGGGAUACCUUCAGGAAACUGGGGCUAAUACCGGAUAGGAGCUCCUGCUGCAUGGUGGGGGUUGGAACGUUUCGGCGGUUGGGGAUGGACUCGCGGCUUAUCAGCUUGUUGGUUGGGUAGUGGCUUACCAAGGCUUUGACGGGUAGGCGGCCUGAGAGGGGGACCGGGCACAAUGGGACUGAGAGAGGGAGCAGAGUGCUACGGGAGGCAGCAGGGGGGAAUAUGGCACAAUGGGCGGAAGCCUGAGGCAGCAACGCCGCGGGCGGGAAGAAGGCCUUCGGGUUGUAAACCGCUUUCGCCUAAGACGAAGCGUGAGUGACGGUAAUGGGAAAAGAAGCACCGGCUAACUACGUG